rnacentral:rRNA from 1 species
GACGAACGCUGGCGGCGUGCUUAACACAUGCAAGUCGAACGGUAAGGCCCUUCGGGGUACACGAGAGGCGAACGGGUGAGUAACACGUGGGUGAUCUGCCCUGCACUUCGGGAUAAGCCUGGGAAACUGGGUCUAAUACCGGAUAGGACCACUGCCUGCAUGGGUGGUGGUGGAAAGCUUUUGCGGUGUGGGAUGGGCCCGCGGCCUAUCAGCUUGUUGGUGGGGUGAUGGCCUACCAAGGCGACGACGGGUAGCCGGCCUGAGAGGGUGACCGGCCACACUGGGACUGAGAUACGGCCCAGACUCCUACGGGAGGCAGCAGUGGGGAACAUUGCACAAUGGGCGCAAGCCUGAUGCAGCGACGCCGCGUGAGGGAUGACGGCCUUCGGAUUGUAAACCUCUUUCAGCACCGACGAAGCGCAAGUGACGGUAGGUGCAGAAGAAGGACCGGCCAACUACGUGCCAGCAGCCGCAGUAA